rnacentral:lncRNA from 1 species
UCUCUUAGGCCUAUUUUACAGAAGGAAAAGCUGAGUGAACACAAAGAAAUUGCUCAGAACCAGACAUGGCUGGGGCUGCCUUGGGGUGGUUUUUGUGCUGAAUCACGGGCCUGACUGCUGCCCCAGAGCAAAGGAGAACCGUCUCCUGUGGUCGGUGGAGUUUCACUGCUUCCUCUUCUGACUUUUUCCACUCGGACUGAUCCUCGUCCUUGCCUGGCCACUUCUGCGUGUCCCACAGAGGCGGAACUUUGGGCCAGGUGGGCCCAGGGGGAGAGACCAGAAGGACAGAACAGCCGCUUAGACGGGCUUUCCAGGUGCACUGCCGUAUUUGGUAUACAAAUAACACCUCACGUCUGUGGUGAUGGGUCCUUAGGAAUAGACAGAGAAAUCGCCUUGGAAUUUGGUGACUUCAGGACAUGGCUUUGUUUUAAAAAAUUCAUUUCCAGACCUCAGCCGACAAUUUUUCCCAGCAAGGUCCCCAGAUUGUGGGGCAAAAUUGAUUUAGCAGUUCAAGUAUCUAGGACUAAGAGAAGUAAGUGAUAUGGGGUUUCUGACCAAUAAGACACCUUAUCAACACCAAAGACCCACAGGAGUGGACGUUAUUGUUGCCAUGGAGCACUAAUGAUGUUGUUUGUCAUAAAAAAGAAUGCAAGCAGCCUGCAAGCAGCAGCAAAGAGAAUGUACGAGAGGCUGAAGAACACAGAACUGCUUCCGGCCAUCUGGUUUCCUUCAGUCCAAAGGCGUAUGGGCGCAGUCCUUUCUAUGCUUGUGUAACCAAGUGGAAAUCCCUAGGGAGUAUCUAAACUCAAGCUUCUGCCACGUAGGGAAGGAACCUGCCAUACUAUGAAUUCCUUAUCCGCAGCCGACUUGACAUUUUUCACAGUGAACACUGUGUUCAGUA